GCACCAGUAUCCAUUCCGCCGUCAGCUGAACACUUUGUACCGAUGGUUCUCUUCGCUCAACUUGUGUUUGUCAUGCUCGACGUCAAGAAGGACAAGAAGCGCAAGCAUGGCUGCCCUCCCGAGUGCCGCAAGCAGCACUUCAGGGACCCGCAGUGCCAUGAGCGACAUCGACAGCAUAACGGCUGAUAAAGACAGAAACUUCUAUUGAAAAAAAGGAUUUUCUUCGGUUGGAAAUUAUCAGACUCUGAAUCUAAGAUUAGAGCAUUCAUAGUGCAUGGAGACAGUCAUUCCCUUAGCUUUGGAAGCCCUAUUCACUUUAAAGCAGAUGCAUGAAAAAGAGUUGCAAAAACAGACAUAGAGAUAGAUGCAACAAGCCGACACGAUGAACAAGCCCAUCCCACCAGCCCGUGGGAAGCAAGGUCUUCAUCAUAAAUAAAAUAGAAGUCCUUCGACGCCUCAAAAGUGAAGACACAGUGGGGGAGAGGAAUGUAGGCGCCAUCUCAAGAAAGUUUUCAAGUGUUGUAUUUUCACAUUUCACACUUCUAAGACUAUAUAACUAACAUAGAUCAACUGUCCAGUCUUUCUAUCAUAUAUGUCUGAAAUAAAAGUCGACCAUCUGUUGAUCUAAUAAUAAACAUUUUAUUUGUAGCAUGCAAGAAAAAUUUCCUAAGGAGAAAAUACGAUCAAUUCUCCAUAUAUAUCUUUUGCUGGCGCAACUAAUCACUGAGUGUUAGUGUGUACCGCUCCUCAAAGGCAUAUAAAGUAAUUAACAAAGUUCAGCGGUUCGUUAUUUAAAGCCCUUUCUCGUAUUAUGAACAGCAAUGUCUAUAAGUGAGUAAUUCUUAAAAAUAGAUACAUAAAUUAAUAGAUAAUGAAACACAAUAACAUUAUGUAACUGAUAUCCUCUAUGUUAAAAAGACGACAAUACUGCAUUUGUUGCAAUAAAUUCCGAUCGUCAUAUUUAGUCAUUAUAUCGUUACCUUUAUACAGUUCUUUGCAGUACCGACAGACUUUUACAAUUGAUAUUUUUGAAUAAAUAAUUUUGAAAAGA